CUUAGCUUCCGGCCACCUUACCGCCUCUCUUUGCUACUUCACCACUAGUCAAGGGCGCUUCCGAUCAAGCGGAAGCAGACUUCUGGGAGACAUGAUUCUCUCUUACUUAGCUCGGGCUAGAGCGCUUUCCCCUUUGGUCAGAGGAAUCAACCCAUCCUUCCCACUGUGACGAGCAUAAAGGAAGGAGGCAGGUGAAGAUGGUCCCAUUUUUCCCUUCAUGGGCCCCAAGACGACGAAGAGCAGAAAAUGGGCAGGAAGCAAAGCAGUUAAGUUGGUGGUUUCUUUAUUGAUCUUCUCCACCCCCAGCCCACUCCCACCCCUCCACCCCUACCCCGUGGGAGGGAAGAUGAAAGGGGUGGAGGUGAGGGGAGGAACUGUAGGAACCCAAGUCCCUUGGGGAGUCUGGGAAGAAACAGAAACCAAAACAAUCAGUGAGUGAGACAAAAAGAAAAUGGGAAUUGACAACCAAGGAGAGAUUGGGGGAGGGCUGGAGGG